AGAGUUUGAUCAUGGCUCAGAUUGAACGCUGGCGGCAGGCCUAACACAUGCAAGUCGAGCGGUAGCACAGAGAGCUUGCUCUCGGGUGACGAGCGGCGGACGGGUGAGUAAUGUCUGGGAAACUGCCUGAUGGAGGGGAUAACUACUGGAAACGGUAGCUAAUACCGCAUAACGUCGCAAGACCAAAGUGGGGGACCUUCGGGCCUCAUGCCAUCAGAUGUGCCCAGAUGGGAUUAGCUAGUAGGUGAGGUAACGGCUCACCUAGGCGACGAUCCCUAGCUGGUCUGAGAGGAUGACCAGCCACACUGGAACUGAGACACGGUCCAGACUCCUACGGGAGGCAGCAGUGGGGAAUAUUGCACAAUGGGCGCAAGCCUGAUGCAGCCAUGCCGCGUGUGUGAAGAAGGCCUUCGGGUUGUAAAGCACUUUCAGCGGGGAGGAAGGCGUUAAGGUUAAUAACCUUGGCGAUUGACGUUACCCGCAGAAGAAGCACCGGCUAACUCCGUGCCAGCAGCCGCGGUAAUACGGAGGGUGCAAGCGUUAAUCGGAAUUACUGGGCGUAAAGCGCACGCAGGCGGUCUGUCAAGUCGGAUGUGAAAUCCCCGGGCUUAACCUGGGAACUGCAUUCGAAACUGGCAGGCUAGAGUCUUGUAGAGGGGGGGUAGAAUUCCGGUGUAGCGGUGAAAUGCGUAGAGAUCUGGAGGAAUACCGGUGGCGAAGGCGGCCCCCCUGGACAAAGACUGACGCUCAGGUGCGAAAGCGUGGGGAGCAAACAGGAUUAGAUACCGGUAGUCCACGCCGUAAACGAUGUCGAUUUGGAGGUUGUGCCCUUGAGGCGUGGCUUCCGGAGCUAACGCGUUAAAUCGACCGCCUGGGGAGUACGGCCGCAAGGUUAAAACUCAAAUGAAUUGACGGGGCCCGCACAAGCGGUGGAGCAUGUGGUUUAAUUCGAUGCAACGCGAAGAACCUUACCUGGUCUUGACAUCCACAGAACUUAGCAGAGAUGCUUUGGUGCCUUCGGGAACUGUGAGACAGGUGCUGCAUGGCUGUCGUCAGCUCGUGUUGUGAAAUGUUGGGUUAAGUCCCGCAACGAGCGCAACCCUUAUCCUUUGUUGCCAGCGGUCCGGCCGGGAACUCAAAGGAGACUGCCAGUGAUAAACUGGAGGAAGGUGGGGAUGACGUCAAGUCAUCAUGGCCCUUACGACCAGGGCUACACACGUGCUACAAUGGCAUAUACAAAGAGAAGCGACCUCGCGAGAGCAAGCGGACCUCAUAAAGUAUGUCGUAGUCCGGAUUGAGUCUGCAACUCGACUCCAUGAAGUCGGAAUCGCUAGUAAUCGUAGAUCAGAAUGCUACGGUGAAUACGUUCCCGGGCCUUGUACACACCGCCCGUCACACCAUGGGAGUGGGUUGCAAAAGAAGUAGGUAGCUUAACCUUCGGGAGGGCGCUUACCACUUUGUGAUUCAUGACUGGGGUGAAGUCGUAACAAGGUAACCGUAGGGGAACCUGCGGUUG
rnacentral:rRNA from 1 species